rnacentral:rRNA from 1 species
UACGUAGGGUGCAAGCGUUGUCCGGAAUUAUUGGGCGUAAAGAGCUCGUAGGCGGUCUGUCACGUCUGCUGUGAAAACUCGGGGCUUAACCCCGGGAGGCGGGUGGAUACUGUCAAGCUCGAGUCCGGAAGAGGCGAGUGGAAUUCCUGGUGUAGCGGUGAAAUGCGCAGAUAUCAGGAGGAACACCGGUGGCGAAGGCGGGUCUCUGGGCCGAAAUUGACGCUGAGGAGCGAAGACGUGGGGAGCAAACAGG